rnacentral:rRNA from 1 species
UUUUGAGGGGACUGUUGCUGGUCUUGUAACAAAGGCAUGUGCACGUCUUCUCUCAUUCUAUUCAUCCACCUGUGCACCUUUCUGUAGAAGCUUUUAGGUCGUUGUUAAGGGGUUAUACCUCGGUAUACCUCUGUUGAUGAUCCUGGGCUUCUAUGUCUUACAAACUCUAAUUAAAUGUAUUUGAAGGUCUUUUUAUCGGGACUUAACUGGCCCUUUAAAACUUAUACAACUUUCAGCAACGGAUCUCUUGGCUCUCGCAUCGAUGAAAAACGCACCGAAAUGCGAUAAGUAAUGUGAAUUGCAAAAUUCAGUGAAUCAUCGAAUCUUUGAACGCCCCUUGCGCCCCUUGGUAUUCCGAGGGGCAUGCCUGUUUGAGUGUCAUUAAAUUCUCAACUUCAAAAGUUUUUGCUUUUGGAGCUUGAACUGUGGAGGCUUGCUGGCAUCACUAGAUGUUCUCGGCUCCUCUUAAAUGCAUUAGCGGAAACCGGAUUAGUCGGACCUAAAGCCUUGGUGUGAUAAUUAUCUACCCCUGGGUGUCUGACAGGCUCUUUGGUUGGGAUAGCUGCAACUAAGCUUGCUCUGUCUGCUUACAUUUCAAAGAGCUGUGGGGUGUCUGCUCUCUAACCGUCUGUUUCACGGACAAAGUAAACAUUGACUUGUUUGACCUCAAAUCAGG